AGUAAUGUAUGGGGAUCUGCCUGAUGGCGGGGGAUAACUACUGGAAACGGUAGCUAAUACCGCAUAAUGUCUGCGGACCAAAGCGGGGGACCUUCGGGCCUCUUGCCAUCGGAUGUGCCCAGAUGGGAUUAGCUAGUAGGUGGGGUAACGGCUCACCUAGGCGACGAUCCCUAGCUGGUCUGAGAGGAUGACCAGCCACACUGGAACUGAGACACGGUCCAG
rnacentral:rRNA from 1 species